CUCCGGGAGUGUUAUAGCCCGUUGCAUAAUACCUGCGGUGGACUGAGGACCGCGCAUCUGCAAGGAUGCUGGCGUAAUGGUCACCAGCGACCCGUCUUGAAACACGGACCAAGGAGUCGUCUUCGUAUGCGAGUGUUCGGGUGUCAAACCCCUACGCGUAAUGAAAGUGAACGCAGGUGAGAGCUUCGGCGCAUCAUCGACCGAUCCUGAUGUUCUCGGAUGGAUUUGAGUAAGAGCAUACGGGGCCGGACCCGAAAGAAGGUGAACUAUGCCUGUAUAGGGUGAAGCCAGAGGAAACUCUGGUGGAGGCUCGCAGCGGUUCUGACGUGCAAAUCGAUCGUCAAAUAUGGGCAUGGGGGCGAAAGACUAAUCGAACCUUCUAGUAGCUGGUUUCCGCCGAAGUUUCCCUCAGGAUAGCAGUGUUGAGCUCAGUUUUAUGAGGUAAAGCGAAUGAUUAGGGACUCGGGGGCGCUAUAUUGCCUUCAUCCAUUCUCAAACUUUAAAUAUGUAAGAAGCCCUUGUUACUUAGUUGAACGUGGGCAUUCGAAUGUAUCAACACUAGUGGGCCAUUUUUGGUAAGCAGAACUGGCGAUGCGGGAUGAACCGAACGCGAGGUUAAGGUGCCAGAGUAGACGCUCAUCAGACACCACAAAAGGCGUUAGUACAUCUUGACAGCAGGACGGUGGCCAUGGAAGUCGGAAUCCGCUAAGGACUGUGUAACAACUCACCUGCCGAAUGUACUAGCCCUGAAAAUGGAUGGCGCUCAAGCGUCUCACCCAUACCUCGCCCUCGGGGUAGAAACGAUGCCCCGAGGAGUAGGCGGACGUGGAGGUCGUGACGAAGCCUUAGGG
rnacentral:rRNA from 1 species